UGGGAAACUGCCUGAUGGAGGGGGAUAACUACUGGAAACGGUAGCUAAUACCGCAUAACGUCGCAAGACCAAAGAGGGGGACCUUCGGGCCUCUUGCCAUCGGAUGUGCCCAGAUGGGAUUAGCUAGUAGGUGGGGUAACGGCUCACCUAGGCGACGAUCCCUAGCUGGUCUGAGAGGAUGACCAGCCACACUGGAACUGAGACACGGUCCAGACUCCUACGGGAGGCAGCAGUGGGGAAUAUUGCACAAUGGGCGCAAGCCUGAUGCAGCCAUGCCGCGUGUAUGAAGAAGGCCUUCGGGUUGUAAAG
rnacentral:rRNA from 2 species